rnacentral:rRNA from 1 species
CCAGACUCCUACGGGAGGCAGCAGUGGGGGAUAUUGCACAAUGGGGGGAACCCUGAUGCAGCGACGCCGCGUGGGUGAAGGAGUAUUUCGGUAUGUAAAGCCCUAUCGGCAGGGAAGAAGCAAGACGGUACCUGACUAAGAAGCCCCGGCUAACUACGUGCCAGCAGCCGCGGUAAUACGUAGGGGGCAAGCGUUAUCCGGAUUUACUGGGUGUAAAGGGAGCGUAGACGGAAAGGCAAGUCAGAAGUGAAAACCCAAGGCUCAACCAUGGGACUGCUUUUGAAACUGUCAAACUAGAGUACGGGAGAGGUAAGAGGAAUUCCUAGUGUAGCGGUGAAAUGCGUAGAUAUUAGGAAGAACACCAGUGGCGAAGGCGGCUUUCUGGACUGAAACUGACGCUGAGGCACGAAAGCGUGGGGAGCGAACAGGAUUAGAUACCCCCGUAA